UUAUGUUUUCUUCAUUUUCUUGUGAAAUUUUGCUGGGAUUCUUGCUGUUGAAGGUUGAUGGAGAUGAAAAUGAAUCAAAGAAGAUCAAGAAAACCUAACGUUUUUGAAUUAAAACUAACAGAAAGGACCUAAAUGUGUAACGAAGAGAAGUUAAGGGACCAAAAUAAAUCGAAUUUUAAUUAGGGGACCAAAGCGAUACUACUUAAAUAGUUAAGGGACCAAAAAUACAAUUUAACCUUUUUUUAAAUUUCACUACUGUUUUCUUUUUUACACCUCUGUUUUUUUACUUUCUGGACCUCUUUC
rnacentral:lncRNA from 1 species